GUCCACACGGUAAACGAUGAAUACUCGCUGUAGGCGAUAUACAGUCUGCGGCCAAGCGAAAGCAUUAAGUAUUCCACCUGGGGAGUACGCCGGCAACGGUGAAACUCAAAGGAAUUGACGGGGGCCCGCACAAGCGGAGGAACAUGUGGUUUAAUUCGAUGAUACGCGAGGAACCUUACCCGGGCUUAAAUUGCAACCGAAUAUGGCGGAAACGCUAUAGCUAGCAAUAGCGGUUGUGAAGGUGCUGCAUGGUUGUCGU
rnacentral:rRNA from 1 species